CAAGAUAGUAAGGCAAUCAGCUUUCGAUCAUAGUCAAUGGUCAUACGGAUCAAAGAUCGCGCAUGCUAUCUGUAAGAAGAAAGAAAUUUUGAUUGCAAUGAAAGCGAAGGGAAGUUCGGAUUUACAUUAGAUGUGUGAAUGUCCGGAUUAGAACUAGUAGCUAGGGACAGUGCGUCUCAAAUCGAGAAAAAUGCCGAAGCUGCUGCUAACUACUUUUCUGAAGUUUAUAACAGAGAUGACGAUGAGAGAAACUGGUCUUUCUCAUACCUUAAGGAGCAACUUCUUUUCAAAGAAUCUCAGCAACUUUUCAGGAGAUACCAAGACCGGGUGCAACAUGCUCUUUUCCUGGAACUUCUGGUCUUUAAUCUGGUGUACAAUGCACUUUCCUUCCUAGCAUUCACGUUCCUUCCAUCUCAGGAGGAGCUUUCAGAAGUUUCCCGUGGAACAGUACAAACUGGACAAUGGUGUAGGAGUACAAUCUUAAUAGUACAGUUUUGCAUCUUUGUGGCUGCGUACAAAGAGAGUUUGUUCCGAAAUCCAGCUUCUAAAAUAGUAGUUGCGUGUAUUGUUCUUUUCUGCAUGAGCUUAGGAGAAAUGGCAACUACUAUUUACAGAUUAUAUGCAGGCCACCCAGAAUCCUUGAUAAGACAUACUUAUUAUGUCGUACUGACAACGGGCGUCUUACUACCAUUUCCUCGGAAGUUGUACAGUGGAAUAUUAGCCGCAGCAGUCAUUGCGGUGGACCUCAUGCUAUCCAGUCUUAGCUCCUCGCAUAAAGAGAAUAUAAUUACUGUGUUGUGUGCUGAUGCUGUGUUUUACGCCACGACUCUUUCUGUUGGCUUAUUCAUUCGAUACCUCAUCGAAAUCAUGAGCAGAAGAGCAUUUUUAGAUAGAAGGGAAUGCAUUGAAUCAAGAAUUAAAAUCGAAACUGAAAAGAAUCAGCAGGAAAAGUUCUUGCAAAGUAUUUUGCCCCAUCAUAUAGCAAGCGAGGUGCGUGAGGACAUCCGAAAGGUGAUCAAAAACAUGAAUCGACUACAUAUGACUCAUAAACCAUUUAACAAACUCUAUGUGGAAAAGCAUAAGGAUGUUAGCGUAUUAUAUGCUGAUAUCGUGAAUUCUAUGCUUUUGGGUGCAAGCCUUAAGGUAUCUGAUUUGGUAGAAACUCUGAACGACCUUUUUGGACGGUUCGAUUAUUCUGCAGAAAACAAUGGCUGUAUGAGAAUCAAGUUGCUUGGCGACUGUUACUAUUGUGUCAGUGGAGUACCAUACAGAAACCCUAGGCAUGCGGAUAAUUGCGUAGUGACCGGCCUUGAAAUGAUCGAUAUAAUUAGAAGUGUUCGUGAAAAACGUUGCAUCAAUGUAGAUAUGAGGAUUGGUAUUCAUACAGGUAAUAUAUUUGGAGGCUUGCUGGGACUCCGAAAAUGGCAGUUCGAUAUCUGGUCUAAAGACGUUACUAUUGCGAGUCACAUGGAACAAGCAGGUGUACCAGGCCAGGUUCAUAUUACGAAGAAGACGAGAAUUAAUUUAUUGGACGAUGGGUACGACAUCAGACCAGGAAAUGGGCACUUACGAGAUCCAUAUUUGCAGAAAGAGCAGAUUGAGACAUUCCUCAUAAGACCCUUCAAUACAGGAAAGGAGACCAGUGGAUCACAUCUUUCUACACCUAAAGCUGACAAAUACAGUAAUGGAAUUUACUUACAAAGGCAAACCUCAGUGACGAACGUCAGAUCCAAUAUUCAAAGAUUGUCCAGUAGGCAAUCAAGCAGCGAGACGAUUUUACCAAUGUCCAGAAGAGGAGCUCUUGGUUACAGCCUCCUUCGAUACCGCAAGAUGGUGAGUCAAGUGAAUAAAAUUUUAGAGAACACCAUUGACAAGAUGGCUCUCAGCAAACGAGACCAGUGGUUCUCCAGAAUUGGCAUUCAGCCACUUUUACUCACAUUUCGAGAACCUGGAACUGAAAAACCUUAUCUUAACCAGCCAGAUCCUUUGUUUAAAUAUUAUUUGCUGUGCAUGCUAUUUAUCUUUGGAGGCAUAACCGUCAUACAUCUGCUCAUCAUGUCCGAAACCGUGGAAUUCUGGGUCACUUACGGUGUCGCUUUACUGCUGAUACUUGCAGCCUGCAUUCCGUCAUGGACCGGUUACAUCUGGCUAUGCUUGAAGAAAGAUGAUACCGAUCCUGUUCUGAAUUCUACUGCUCUGAAGAUAUCCAGAAAGGUGUGGAAAACAACCUCCGUGCGAGUAGCUAUAUGGCUAGCGAUCUCUAGUACUAUACUGUUUUGUUCAAUAGCAGGACUGAAUGAAUGCCUGGACGAAGGCAUCUUCCAGAUUUCUAAACACCAUAACGCUUCCAUGAACGAAACCAGUAAAAUCACACACCACGACCUGAGCUGCCAGUAUCCAUGGUUUUACACACUUUGUGCUGCUCUUGCCAUGACAACUACGUCUGUUUUCUUACGAAUUCAUUUCUUGAUGAAGCUUACAUUAAAUAGCAUAUCACUGGCUGCCUUCUGGUACAUUAUGGAUAUUCGAGGGGAAGAAGUCUUUCGGCAACGGACCGCAAAGCUCGCUGAUUGGUCAGUGGAAGAAUUUGGCCUUCCGGCUGAUCGCAGUCAUUGUUAUUAUCUUACUUUUGUCCUGCUCAUCUUGCACGUUUUGGACAGACAGGUUGAAUAUGUGUGCCGCCUGGAUUAUCUCAUGAAGGUGAAGCUAAAAGCGGAGCAAGAGGAAGCUCGAACAAUGGAACUCGUCAACCGCAUGUUGCUUUUCAACAUUUUGCCGCCGCAUGUAUCACAAUAUUAUCUUAGCAAGCAGCUUGAGGAAGAAAACUCACGAGUCGAGGUAUUCGGGUGGGGAUCAUUCGCCAUCGCACAUGGAAGCGGUGUAGCACCAGGGUGCCUAGUCAUCGCUACAUAUGUUGGAAUCCACAGCAGGUGUUACAGACACAUUGAGAUGAAUCAAGCGGUGAAAUGGCAGCGAAACAAGGAACUAUUUGCUGGAUGUGGAGUGGAUAAAAUCUGUCCUAUCAUGAAAAUCACUCUGCUGUUGCAGUGUUGUUUGCAUCCAUUCCAAACUUUGCUGAUUUUUACUACGAGGAUGGAGAAAACGAGGAAGGAUUACGUUGCAUUCAACUCCUGAAUGAAAUUAUAUGCGAUUUCGAUCUCGUAAUUAUUAUAUGAGAGAGGAUUUCAUUCAGUAGAAAAAAUCAAGACAAUAGGUAGCACUUAUAUGGCUGCUUGUGGGCUUCGGAGCCAGGAAAAGGGAUCUCUGUUUACGGAAGAAAAUCCCACACAGAAUGUAGUAACAC
rnacentral:misc_RNA from 1 species